AUCGUACCCCAAACCGACACAGGUGGUCAGGUAGAGAAUACUCAGGCGCUUGAGAGAACUCGGGUGAAGGAACUAGGCAAAAUGGUGCCGUAACUUCGGGAGAAGGCACGCUGGCACUAGGUGAAGUCCCUUGCGGACGGAGCUGAAGCCAGCCGCAGAUACCAGCUGGCUGCAACUGUUUAUUAAAAACACAGCACUGUGCAAACACGAAAGUGGACGUAUACGGUGUGACGCCUGCCCGGUGCCGGAAGGUUAAUUGAUGAGG
rnacentral:rRNA from 1 species